rnacentral:rRNA from 1 species
CCUACGGGAGGCAGCAGUGGGGAAUAUUGCACAAUGGGGGGAACCCUGAUGCAGCAACGCCGCGUGGGUGAAGAAGUAUUUCGGUAUGUAAAGCCCUGUCAGCAGGGAAGAAAAUGACGGUAACUAACCAAGAAGCCCCUGCUAACUACGUGCCAGCAGCCGCGGUAAUACGUAGGGGGCAAGCGUUAUCCGGAUUUACUGGGUGUAAAGGGAGCGUAGACGGCAAGGCAAGUCUGGAGUGAAAGCCCGUGGCUCAACCACGGGACUGCUUUGGAAACUGGGUUGCUGGAGUGCAGGAGAGGUGAGCGGAAUUCCUAGUGUAGCGGUGAAAUGCGUAGAUAUUAGGAGGAACACCAGUGGCGAAGGCGGCUUACUGGACUGUAACUGACGUUGAGGCUCGAAGGCGUGGGGAGCAAACAGGAUUAGAUACCCGUGUAGUC